CCAAAGCACAUGCGCACUUCUAACACUGCUCCUACCGUGCGGGAUGGACUUCAUCACGUGAUUAGUUAACGUUGUGCCCUGCAAAAAAAUUCAACAAAGAAUAUACCACAGAUGUGGAUGUUUCCUUGACCCAUUUGCGUAAAAUAUAGAGAGGAAUGAUGAUAUGAUGAGGGUCGUUAGGAUUCCCAAACAAAGCUUACUCGGAGUUAAGAAUCAGACCUCCCUGCAGCGUGAAGAGGACGACGGAAGAUGGUUAAAUGGGUUAGAAUACCAUUCUACCAUCAUAAUGCGAACGAGUUGUUAUGAGAACAUAGAAUCAGGGUGCCGCAUUUUACUGUGCUGAGCAACUACGUAUCGGUCGAUGAGCCACAUGAAGAAUAUACAUAUACACAAACAGUAUGAAUUCGGAGCAGAGGAAGACCACUCAUCCCCUCAACCUCCUCUGCGUUUCCACGUGAUAGUGGUUGAUCUGAUUCCAUAACAUUCCCAGCGAUCCCUGACAAUUCUGCAACCCCUUUUCAAUCAAGAAUCUAUCUACAUCUGCCUUCAAAAUAUUCGAAAGGCGAUGGGAGCAGAAUUCCAAAGAUUCACUGACCUUGAAACGGAAUUGUCAUCUUUGUCUGAAAUGGAACAUGCAAGGUCAAAAACCCAUGUUUAACAUUCACAAUGAUAUAAUUAUAGACUAUGGAUCUUUGAAUACCACAGUCUGAAUCAAUACCUGGGACUUUCAUGGACUGAAGUUGUUUAAAAGAGGACCAUAAAUGCCAACUUAUAAUUGUUACUGCCACCACCUGACCACAAAGGCUUCAUGAAUGCAACAAGGUUAUACUGAAAAAAAGCUUGAGAUAAAAUUAACAUUUUCCUCAUGUAAUGAAAUGAAGCAGAAAACAAAUUCUUAGCCCCCAAGGGAAGUGUGAAAAAGCUUCCUUUCCUGUCAUGUUUGCACGAUCAUGAGAUCUCAACACGCAAGAAACAUCACCUACAAUUUUAAACGGCUCUCUACGUGACAGAUGCAGAGAUGGGUUUUUGACUGUUGAAUUGAAACAGAUUAGGGCUGAGAAAGCGCUUAUUCUCUGGCUGUCAUUAGAAAAAGGCAGUGGCAAAAAUGAUUGGAAAGAAACACCAAAAAACUGAGUACUCGAAUAUAUGGCUGCAAUAUUUUCUACUUUGUGAUAUCCUUUUAUCAAAGCACAUUUAAGAUCUGCAGUGAGAAUCAUGAUUUUUUUGAACGAAUUAGUGAGCAGACCCGGUGUUUCACAAAGCAGGUUUAAUCCUGAUCACCAAUUUUCAUCGUGUGUUACAUUCCAAGAAGGACCAGGAUGUUGAAGUAUUGAACAGCUGGAGCUUUAUUAAGGAGGUGUUCACUCUGCAGGCAGUAGGUUAGACUAGGUUGUUUCCUGCCCAAAAUGGCUGAUGAUGUUACCACUGCAUCACACAAAUAUACAAUAAAGGUCAGAAUCACAAAAUUACAGAAUUGUUCAAAGAACAAUCACAGGAAAACAGCGGGAGAAAAGGUGGCUUGGCAGUGAUUUGCCCUGAACAGGUUAAUUAAUGAGUAAAGGGCAGGUGUGACAUUCAAUUAAGGAGGAAUGUGGGCUCAGAACAAUUGGAGGUCCUUCAACACUGAAUAAUUAGCAGUAUGCUAAUUUCAGAUAACGGAGAGAUGGCACCUUGAAAGUUCCGCACUGACAGGCUUUGUGUCCUCUGGUAUUAGCGAACCAUCCCCAGUAAUCACGGUUGUACACUAUCUUUAUCCAAUUAAUUGAUGUAUUGUAUCUAAACUGCUGCUUUUGAACAAACUCAAUAAACUAUCAGAAAAUUGCGAUAAAUCGUCAACUGCCUGUAUUACAUAACUUUGAUCAUGAACCCUGGAAAACAACAGCAGUAACACAGCAGUCUCAUCACUCUAAAUUCAGAAUAC